rnacentral:rRNA from 1 species
AUGAACGCUGGCGGCGUGCCUAACACAUGCAAGUCGAACGGAGUCGUUUUGGAAAUCUCUUCGGAGAUGGAAUUCUCGACUUAGUGGCGGACGGGUGAGUAACGCGUGAGCAAUCUGCCUUUAAGAGGGGGAUAACAGUCGGAAACGGCUGCUAAUACCGCAUAAAGCAUUAAAUUCGCAUGUUUUUGAUGCCAAAGGAGCAAUCCGCUUUUAGAUGAGCUCGCGUCUGAUUAGCUAGUUGGCGGGGUAACGGCCCACCAAGGCGACGAUCAGUAGCCGGACUGAGAGGUUGAACGGCCACAUUGGGACUGAGACACGGCCCAGACUCCUACGGGAGGCAGCAGUGGGGAAUAUUGCGCAAUGGGGGAAACCCUGACGCAGCAACGCCGCGUGAUUGAAGAAGGCCUUCGGGUUGUAAAGAUCUUUAAUCUGGGACGAAACAAAUGACGGUACCUGAAGAAUAAGCUCCGGCUAACUACGUG